rnacentral:rRNA from 1 species
AUUGAACGCUGGCGGCAUGCUUUACACAUGCAAGUCGAACGGUAACAGGGUGCUUGCACCGCUGACGAGUGGCGAACGGGUGAGUAAUGCGUCGGAACGUGCCGAGUAGUGGGGGAUAACGCAUCGAAAGGUGUGCUAAUACCGCAUACGUACUGAGGUAGAAAGUGGGGGACCUUCGGGCCUCACGCUAUUCGAGCGGCCGACGUCUGAUUAGCCAGUUGGUGGGGUAAAGGCUCACCAAGGCGACGAUCAGUAGCGGGUCUGAGAGGAUGAUCCGCCACACUGGGACUGAGACACGGCCCAGACUCCUACGGGAGGCAGCAGUGGGGAAUUUUGGACAAUGGGCGCAAGCCUGAUCCAGCCAUGCCGCGUGUCUGAAGAAGGCCUUCGGGUUGUAAAGGACUUUUGUCCGGGAGCAAAUACCCAGUGCUAAUAACGCUGGGGGCUGAGAGUACCGGAAGAAUAAGCACCGGCUAACUACGUGCCAGCAGCCGCCGUAAAAC